UCCAUCACGCAGGGAUUUGACUAGGCCUCGCGACGCGGGGCCUACACGAGGCUCACUGCCUCAAUCCCGAUUUCAAAAAUAAAAUAUGAAAUUGAUCCCGCGACGCACAAUCACUUCCAAGAUUCGUAAAAAGUCAUAUUUUAAGCAUUUUGACUUCACAAAAAGACUCAUUUGAGUGAGGGGUCUUUUGCUAAUUUAAUGGGUGAAUAUAUACGGUCUUAGGGUCAGUUUUAGGUCAAUUUUAACACCCAAAUCAAGUCUCAAAAGUUGAAAUAAAAAAUCACUCUCAUCUUUCCCAGAUUCUCUCUUCAUCCAAACCUCCAUUGAAGACCGAUAGAGCUCCAAGAAGAAGAUCAAACCUUCAAGUUUCCAACCCAAUUUCGUGGCUUUAUCAUCUCUAAGGUUCGCUCCAUUGAGGACAUUCGUGGUCAUUGAAGAAGAAGACUUGGCUCUUUCCUAAGUAAAUUUGUGAGUCCUCAUGAGUUCUGAGGAUAGAACCACUCAUCAAACCUUAUUAGUUUUGUUUAUGUUAUGAGACAUUUAUUCCAUUCUCAAUUGAGACUUCAUUGUAGCCUAUAUGGGCAUAUUGUAAUAGACUAAGGGCUAUCCCCAAACUAUUGUGAUUCA